AGGAGGGCUGCUAUCAAAAAGUCUACAAAGAAUAAAUCCUCGAGAGGGUGUGGAGAAAAGGGAACCCUCCUACACUGUUGAUGGGAAUGGAAACUGGUGCAGCCACUGUGGAACACAGUGUGGAGGUUUCUGAAAACCCUAGAGUGGCCGUGUGAUCCAGGAAUCCCACUCCUGGGCAUAUAAACAGAGAAACUCUAACUGGGAAAGAUACACACAUCCUAAUGUCCACACAGCACUAGUCACAACAGCCAAGACAUGGAAGCAAACUAAAUGUCCACUGAAGGAUGAAUGGAUAAAGAAGAUGUGGUGUGUGUGUUUAUACACACACACACACACACAUAUAUACAUACACUGGAAUAUUACUCAGCCAUAAAAAAGAAUGAAGUGUCAUUUGUGGGAAUAUGGAUGGAUGCAGAGAUCAUCAUACUAGGUGAAGUCAGACAUAGACAAAUACCAUGAUAUCACUUGUGUGUGGAAUGUAAAAUAUGAUACAAGCGAACUUCUUUGCAAAACAGAAACAGACUCACAAACAGAAAAUCUUAUGGUUACCUGAGGGAAGAAGGGGAGGGGUGAAUUAGGAGUUUGGGAUUAGCACAUAUAAACUACCAUAUAUAAAACAAACAAGGUCCGACUAUAUACUGAUAGCAGAGGGAGCUAUGUUCAAUAUCCUGUAAUAACUCA